rnacentral:pre_miRNA from 14 species
UUUCAAACAUUUUUUACUAUCUCGAGCUUUCGGAAUAAAAUUAUUCCUUCUUCAGUUUAUUCCAAAAGCUCGAGAUAGUAAAAAAUGUUUGA